UGACAAAAGGUCUAUUUAGCUCCCAGGACGAUUUAUAUAAAUGUCAAAGAGAGGAGAAAGUACUUAAGAUUACAAGUUAUCUAAAGCAAAUGCUGAAAAAGGACAGAGAAAAUAAUUCUUCCCUUCUUUUCAAUAGGGAAAAUUAAGCCUCUUAUUUUUAAUUUGCAUUUGUCCUUCCAAAAGCAAGAAAUAAAAACCUUCUUUGAAAAGCAGUUAAAUGCUGCAUAUUUCAGAAAAGUGCUCUUUGGUUAUAGGAGUGGGAGUUAUGCAAGACUUUAAGGAGGAGCUGAGUGUGACGACUUGAAACAUGGUUAGGACUGAGCAAUGUGCAGUUUAGGAAAAAGCGCCUUGUAGGGGGAUGAAGACAGCUGGUCUUGCUUUUCCUUAGGGAGAAUCUGAGGUAUGCGGUUUGGGUGGCUUAGGGCUCCUUUUGUUCUUGUCUGUGACUAGGACACCAGAGCAGAAAGGCCAAUACUCUUCACAUCCUGGAAAGACUACAGACUGCUAUAUAGAGAUGCAGACUCAAGAAGUCCGGCUAGGAGGACACCAGUGGCUGUGGUCAGCUACCUUUGAACAUGUCUUUACAUUUUGA
rnacentral:lncRNA from 1 species